rnacentral:lncRNA from 1 species
UUCGUUAUAUAUUUAUAUGAUAGUGAAAAUUACUCUUCGGAUUUUCUAAAACAUUAAUAAUUACUGUAACUAAUUGAAUUAAUCUCUGAUGUAGAUGUUAAAAUAUAAUAGAGUGGUCAUAACUCAUAAUUUCAUAGGUUCAAAUCAUCCAUAUUGCUCAUUUAUUUAAAAUGUAAUUAGAAUAAUAUAAAUUUUUAAGCCUAAACAUAGUUAAAAAUGACCGCCCAGGCCCACAUGACACUUGAUCCGGGGUCCAUUCAUACAUGAAGUUUGAACAGGUAUGACCGUAUGAGAAUUUAUCGUAUAAACCCGAAUCCAAACCCGAUACGACCAAGUGUCUUUCAUUGGGUUCGAUCCAGAUACUCUCUAGUGGUCACCUGGACGGAGGGCUGAGCAACGGAGGACGGAGGGAUCAUAAUCUGAAGUUUCUGAUAUUUAGGUACUGCAUUUUGCGAUUUUGGAUCCAGUCGGUAAUUUAGAGACCAUGAUUCUCGGUGAAUUCCACGAUCGCUGAAAUGAACAGAGAAAAACGAAACCCUGACCUGACAGUCUCGCAAAACUAUCGGAGAAUUUCCACACUAAAACCAUUCAGACCAGACCAAACCAAACCAGCACACAACACACAAAUAAAAUAAAAUCAAACAAAGUGACGCAAUACCUGACUUUCGCGACAUUAGACCUACAAUCUCCGAUCACGCGGGAUUUUAUUUUUACCAGUGCAUUUUCUCUUGACCUACCUAAUUUGCAGAAUUGGGGGGGGGGGAAGAUGAUUGGUGAGAGUGUGAAUGUUGUGUAGCCGAUUUUUCUUCUUCAUGUGAUAAUAAUAGCCGUUAGUCUGUUACGAAGAAAUGUGAGGUGUGGGAGAAACUGCCAUGGUCUGGUGGAAAAUCGGCGGUUAACUUAUUGUUGGACUAAAAUUGGGAGAAACGAUAAAAUAA